rnacentral:rRNA from 1 species
AUUGAACGCUGGCGGCAGGCCUAACACAUGCAAGUCGAACGGUAACAGGAAGAAGCUUGCUUCUUUGCUGACGAGUGGCGGACGGGUGAGUAAUGUCUGGGAAACUGCCUGAUGGAGGGGGAUAACUACUGGAAACGGUAGCUAAUACCGCAUAACGUCGCAAGACCAAAGAGGGGGACCUUCGGGCCUCUUUCCAUCGGAUUUGCCCAGAUGGGAUUAGCUAGUAGGUGGGGUAACGGCUCACCUAGGCGACGAUCCCUAGCUGGUCUGAGAGGAUGACCAGCCACACUGGAACUGAGACACGGUCCAGACUCCUACGGGAGGCAGCAGUGGGGAAUAUUGCACAAUGGGCGCAAGCCUGAUGCAGCCAUGCCGCGUGUAUGAAGAAGGCCUUCGGGUUGUAAAGUACUUUCAGCGGGGAGGAAGGGAGGAAAGUUAAUACCUUUGCUCAUUGACGUUACCCGCAGAAGAAGCACCGGCUAACUCCGUG